CAUGCAAGUCGAACGAGGGAGUGCCUCGAAAGGGGCGCAAACCGAGUGGCGUAAGGGUGAGUAAUGCAUUGAUAACCUGCCUUUGAGAUGGGAAUAACAACGUUCCAAGCAAUUGGGGCUACCGAAAGGGUUGCUAAUACCCAAUAAAACUAUUGCUGCUAUUGGUAGUAAUAGUCAAAUAAAUGGGGUCGAAAGAUUUCAUUUGCUCGAAGAGGGGUCAAUGUCCUAUCAGCUAGUUGGUAGAGUAAUAGCCUACCAAGGCAAAGACGGGUAGCCGGCCUGAGAGGGUGGUCGGCCACACUGGGACUGAGACACUGCCCAGACUCCUACGGGAGGCUGCAGUCGAGAAUCUUUCGCAAUGCCCGAAAGGGUGACGAAGCGACGCCGCGUGCGGGAAGAAGGCCUUCGGGUUGUAAACCGCUGUCGGGAGUUAAGAAAUGCAAGGAUGUUAAUAGCAUCUUUGUUUGACUAAGGCUCCGGAGGAAGCCACGGCUAACUCUGUGCCAGCAGCCGCGGUAAUACAGAGGCGGCAAGCGUUGUUCGGAAUUAUUGGGCGUAAAGAGCACGUAGGCGGCUGUGUAAGUCGGUUGUGAAAGCCUUCCGCUUAACGGAAGAACGGCAUCCGAUACUGCAUAGCUCGAGUGCGGGAGGGGAGAGUGGAACUUCUGGUGGAGCGGUGAAAUGCGUAGAUAUCAGAAGGAACACCGGCGGCGAAGGCGACUCUCUGGCCCGUAACUGACGCUGAGUGUGCGAAAGCUAGGGGAGCAAACGGGAUUAGAUACCCCGGUAGUCCUAGCCGUAAACGAUGGGCACUAGGUAGAGGGGUUUUGAUUAUCUCUCUGCCGGAGCUAACGCAUUAAGUGCCCCGCCUGGGGAGUACGGCCGCAAGGCUAAAACUCAAAAGAAUUGACGGGGGCUCGCACAAGCGGUGGAGCAUGUGGCUUAAUUCGAUGCAACGCGAAGAACCUUACCGGGGUUUGACAUGAUGGAAGUAGGAGCCCGAAAGGGCAACGAACGGUAUCCAGUCCGUAACUAUCACAGGUGUUGCAUGGCUGUCGUCAGCUCGUGUCGUGAGACGUUGGGUUAAGUCCCCUAACGAGCGAAACCCUUGUCUUUAGUUGCCAACAGGUCAUGCUGGGUACUCUAAAGAGACUGCCGUCGUCAAGACGGAGGAAGGUGGGGAUGACGUCAAGUCAUCAUGGCCCUUAUAUCCCGGGCUGCACACGUGCUACAAUGGUCGGUACAAAGGGAUGCUAAACCGCAAGGCGGAGCGAAACCCAGAAAGCCGAUCUCAGUUCAGAUUGGAGGCUGAAACCCGCCUCCAUGAAGUAGGAAUCGCUAGUAAUCGCGGAUCAGCUACGCCGCGGUGAAUAUGUUCCCGAGCCUUGUACACACCGCCCGUCAAGCCACCCAAGCAAGAUGCACCCAAAAUCAUUGGCCUAACCAGCAAUGGAGGGAAGUGCUUAAGGUGUGUUUUGUGAGGAGGACUAAGUCGUAACAAGGUAGUCGUAGGAGAACCUGCGGCUGGAUCACCUCCUUUCU
rnacentral:rRNA from 1 species